rnacentral:lncRNA from 1 species
CCUGUAAACAGCAAAUGGCUUAGUUCCUCUUAGUAAGGAACUUAACAUCAUAGCUUUGUUCCCAAAGUCAAUAGGAAGUAAGGUAUCAUAAUUUUAGAUAUUCAAACCUGUCCAACUACCAACUAGGAAAAAAUGGUUAAAAUGCCUUAGGCUUGAGGUUUCUGCUCAGAAUAACAGUUUUCCCAGCUCCUUCCUGACCUAAGCCAGGACUCACAUUGAAAUGCAAAUGGAGGCGCAGUAAGAGACCAGUCUCAGACCCUAAAACAGGAGAGAGAAAGUGCCCUUUACCUGAACUUAUCUUAGACUAAACCAAAAAGUAAAUUGUAUGAUACUUUACUAAUUACUGGCCGGUCAUUUUUUCUAGGACUCUUGCUUUUUCUUAGAUUCUGUAUGUUUUGAGCCCAUAAUUUUGAUCCCACAGACCUAGGUUAAUGUUUUUCCAAUCAGCCCUAUUUUUUAUUCAACUAUGGAGAUUUUAACCAGUGCAAUGGAGAUUUCACCUGCAAAAAGCUACAAGGCCUUUGCUAUUGUGUUAUGUGUGCACACUUCUGUUAUAUGUUGCGUGUCUAUAUGUGCAUAUGUCCAUAUAUCAUGUACAUGAUAUGAAAAUUGGCAGAUAUAUAAGGAGCACUCAUAAAAUUUAGAAAAAAAAAUGAAUCCAAAUACCUUUAAUCCACAUGAUUUAAAAUGGUUUAAUUUAAAUU